rnacentral:rRNA from 1 species
UUGGGAAUAUUGGACAAUGGGCGAAAGCCUGAUCCAGCAAUGCCGCGUGAAUGAUGAAGGCCUUCGGGUCGUAAAGUUCUUUCAGCAGGGACGAGGGAAACUUGACGGUACCUGCAGAAGAAGCACCGGCUAACUCCGUGCCAGCAGCCGCGGUAAUACGGAGGGUGCAAGCGUUGUUCGGAAUCAUUGGGCGUAAAGCGCGUGUAGGCGGUAACUUAAGUCUGGUGUGAAAGCCCGGGGCUUAACCCCGGAAGUGCAUUGGAUACUGAGUUACUAGAGGGCAGAAGAGGAAAGCGGAAUUCCUGGUGUAGGAGUGAAAUCCGUAGAUAUCAGGAGGAACACCGGUGGCGAAGGCGGCUUUCUGGUCUGUGCCUGACGCUGAGACACGAAAGCGUGGGGAGCAAACA